UUGUGACCCUAUGCUCCCCUUGGGUUCACAGCAGUAAGACUAAGAUGAUGACUGCUUUAUUGAUCCUUAUGGAAAUUUAUUGUGAUUACCAUAAGUAAGUGUAGAAACCAUUGAAGACUACAUUUGCACUCAGAGAUUUAAAGGAUGUAGAGUCAACUACAAAGAGUGUUCAUGCAUUGAAGAAGAAUUUGUGGGAUGUGAAAAUUAUUUCCAUACAAAACUAAGAGAGAAAGUCUCAGAGAUUUUCGUGGUCAUGGCAACAUUUGUGAAUAUCGUAAACCAUGCAGAGAUAACCAAUUUCACCAAUUACUACCUCCAAUCAUGUUUGAACAUUCAAAUGUGAGUGUGCUGCCACGGGUUACUAUGGUGACAGGUGUGAAAAUAAAUGUCCAAAAGAUUUGUCAGCUAAGGAGCCUAAAAUGUUGGCCUGUUUACAAGUAUGAGAUCUUCCUUAACUACACAAGUACCUUACAGAAGAAGGCUACUCACUUGUGUUUGGAUAUGCCUGCUGUACCAAGGCUCACAUAGACUGGAUAUUUAUAUAGCCUAAUAUUAUGUUGCUGACAAUUAUCUAAGUAUUGCAUGUCCUGUACAAGCCUCAAUGACUAAGAUAAUUAAAGAUAUUCAUGAUUAUAAGAUAAGUAGAAUGCAAUGAAAAUCAAAGAUGCCGGUAUUAAAACAAGAAAAAGUAGGCAAAUGUAUAUCUUACUUUUCUACUGUAGAUUCUAAAGUUACAAAGUGUCUUUUUUUAAUGACACAUUGCCUGUCAAUACUGUUUAGUUUAAUCUUUUUUUCUUAAUAUAGUGCCUAUCACCCUAAGUAAUGGUCAAGCUCAACAGAUAUUAUUAUAAGCAGCU
rnacentral:sRNA from 1 species